GUGCCUAUGGUGUAAUGGUUCGCACAACGACCUGUGGAGUCGUUUGACUGGGUUCGAGUCCCAGUAGGCACCCCG
rnacentral:tRNA from 2 species